AAAUUGAAGAGUUUGAUCAUGGCUCAGAUUGAACGCUGGCGGCAGGCCUAACACAUGCAAGUCGAACGGUAACAGGAAGAAGCUUGCUUCUUUGCUGACGAGUGGCGGACGGGUGAGUAAUGUCUGGGAAACUGCCUGAUGGAGGGGGAUAACUACUGGAAACGGUAGCUAAUACCGCAUAACGUCGCAAGACCAAAGAGGGGGACCUUCGGGCCUCUUGCCAUCGGAUGUGCCCAGAUGGGAUUAGCUAGUAGGUGGGGUAACGGCUCACCUAGGCGACGAUCCCUAGCUGGUCUGAGAGGAUGACCAGCCACACUGGAACUGAGACACGGUCCAGACUCCUACGGGAGGCAGCAGUGGGGAAUAUUGCACAAUGGGCGCAAGCCUGAUGCAGCCAUGCCGCGUGUAUGAAGAAGGCCUUCGGGUUGUAAAGUACUUUCAGCGGGGAGGAAGGGAGUAAAGUUAAUACCUUUGCUCAUUGACGUUACCCGCAGAAGAAGCACCGGCUAACUCCGUGCCAGCAGCCGCGGUAAUACGGAGGGUGCAAGCGUUAAUCGGAAUUACUGGGCGUAAAGCGCACGCAGGCGGUUUGUUAAGUCAGAUGUGAAAUCCCCGGGCUCAACCUGG
rnacentral:rRNA from 1 species